AUAGCAACCAGCUGGGCUUCCUGCUGGAUAAACACAUGGAGCUGUUUGCUUUGUUAGAGAGGAGCAGGUCUACCCCAGAUGAGUAUCAGCUUUCAUAGAAUCACAGAAUGGGCUGGGUUGAAAAGGACCACAAUGACCACCGAAGAUGAGCAAUUCUGAAGAAAAUACCCAUCCCAUCUGAAACGUGAGCUCCAAAUAAGGAACACAGUCAACAAGUCCCUGUAAACUUCCAGAAAAGCACAAAUAAAGGAGCAGAUUUAAUGUUUAAAA